rnacentral:rRNA from 1 species
GAUGAACGCUGGCGGCGUGCCUAAUACAUGCAAGUCGAGCGGACUGAUUAGAAGCUUGCUUCUAUGACGUUAGCGGCGGACGGGUGAGUAACACGUGGGCAACCUGCCUGUAAGACUGGGAUAACUUCGGGAAACCGAAGCUAAUACCGGAUAGGAUCUUCUCCUUCAUGGGAGAUGAGUGAAAGAUGGUUUCGGCUAUCACUUACAGAUGGGCCCGCGGUGCAUUAGCUAGUUGGUGAGGUAACGGCUCACCAAGGCAACGAUGCAUAGCCGACCUGAGAGGGUGAUCGGCCACACUGGGACUGAGACACGGCCCAGACUCCUACGGGAGGCAGCAGUAGGGAAUCUUCCGCAAUGGACGAAAGUCUGACGGAGCAACGCCGCGUGAGUGAUGAAGGCUUUCGGGUCGUAAAACUCUGUUGUUAGGGAAGAACAAGUACAAGAGUAACUGCUUGUACCUUGACGGUACCUAACCAGAAAGCCACGGCUAACUACGUGCCAGCCGCCGCAGUAAGAC